rnacentral:lncRNA from 1 species
UUCAUUCAUCAACAAAAUAAUUUCAUCUGGUGGUCCAAGAAACGAGCCUAAGAAUUCAAAUCUUAAUGUUUUCUCAUCUUCACCGGAGAUUGGUUCAGCAUCCAGAGAGUUUCAAAGUUGGUUGUUUACCAAUCAUAAUCAUUUUUCUCAUUCUCAGCCAGAAAUUCAAGUGCAGGUCCUUUCUUCACAGAAGCCGUUCUGUAAAGAGCAUAAAUUCCUGCACAAAGAUAAGUGAUUAGUGAAACAGGUCACUAUAAAUACUCCAUUCAUGAUUAAUGUUCUUAUUUCUAUUUACGACUUAUACAAUUGCCGGAAAGUAAAAAUAGAAUUUGAUGGCUGGCUGACAUGUAGAGUUGAUGAUAUAUCCAUUAAGAUUUACACUAAUGUGGCCAUCUGGGUAAUGAUAUUAGAAUAAGAGUAUAGGUGCCUCAUACUCAAUGUGCCUCUGUCAGUUCAUUCUGUAACUAAUUUUGUAUCGCUUUCUGUGGACCUAGCAUUUCUCAAUUAAAUUAGCCACCUAUAUCUGAUUACCUUUUGGAUACAUAGAAAAUCAUAAAUCCAAUUUAUAGUUGUACUUAUGUUGUGAGACCUUUGAAUCUGAGACUGUCGAUUAUUGUUGAGGUUUGCACAUAUCGAUGCAAUGGAAAAUUAAAAUUUAAGCAGAAAACGAUAUAUAAAGCUGAGAAUCCAUGCGACACAUGUUUAUUAAGAAGGUCGGAAACUUGCCAGUUGAAGUGAAUAAGCAAGAUGUAGGAGGAGUACGAAAGAGCAAUGAAUCACUACACAGAGUUUUGCUCUAUGACCAAUUUAUUGAAUACACCAACAGCUAGUUGUUCAUAGUGACAACUGACUUAAUAUGUUUAUAGGAUAGAAUAGUAGUUCAAUCUUGAGAAGGAUCUCAGCGCACAUUUCUUCUACUUAACCGGACUUUAAGACCAUAUUUCAUUUCCAGAACAACAGAAUCGCGAGGGACUAUGGGAUGACCUUCAGUCACUUGUAUUUUGUAAUUGUAUAUCAUGGUUGUGGCAACAAUCUUCAUCUGAGUGAACGACAUUUCCUUGCCUAAACAAUAUCUUGG